CCUCGCCAGGCUAGAGAGACUGCCGCGCGCCGCGGGAGCGGAGCGAUGGGUGAAAACGCCGCGCCAGGGCCCCUUAGACUAGACCCGGGCGGGGGAGGCCACGCGCGAGCACCCAGGUGCCCACCCACCUUCUCGGGCCCGUGAGCGGGGACACUGACCGCCCCCGCACUCCUGAGUGUCGAAGCUUCUUCAUCUGCUGUCCCGGGAGCCAGCACAGCCAGACCAGCUGGAGGGUGGGCGCCCACGCUGCCGCUCGUGGCCGCCCAGGGUCUCGGGAGGAGAGAAGCGUGGGUAUCUGGGGGCGCAGAGGUCUCCAGCCCGGCAGGGCGAGCCCGCGGGGGAAAAUGUCAGCGCCGGGCCAGAUCUGAGCAGGGUAGGCCGGAGGCAGCGCGGUGCUGGGCGGUAGCGCCCGGGUCAUGGAGUGGUGCUGCCAGCUCCAGACCCGCUGUGCAUCGCAUUCCGCUGAAUGACCUUGGGCAUGAAGUAGACCUCCUGCUAUGUAAAGCGACGAUGUGGGGAGUCUGAAUGACCUUGGGCAUGAAGUAGACCUCCUGCUAUGUGAAGCGACGAUGUGGGGAGUGGGGAGUUCGCUGUGUCAGGUGCCCAGCACCCACGUGACCCUCAGUAAAGGCUGAACCCCGUCUGUCCACAGUUUUCAUUUCCAAGCCUCCAGUUAUCCGAGGUCCAAAAAUAUCCAAUAGCAACUCCAGUUUGAAAUUGCCCACUAUUGUGAGUAACAUGAUAAAAUCUCCAGCUGCCUGAACAGGACUCACCUUCACCUUUUGUCUCUCCUAAGGUAUUUUGAGAGAAAGAGAAAGAGAGAGAGAGAGAGAGAUCAGUCGCAUAAUUUUUGUUUGCUGCCCUGGGAUUGAAACUAAUUGGCUCGUGCUGGUGAUGCUCUACCACCCAGCUGCAUCCACCAGUGGCCCCCACCUGUUGUACUGGCGUUAUUUAUUUUAUUUUAUUUUCACUAAGUUGCCCAGGCUGUCCUCCAACUUAGGAUCGUCCUCCCCAGCCUCCUAAGUAGCUAGGGGUUACAUGUGUGUGAUAUCUUACCCUGCCCCACAUAACUUUUAAUACAGUAUAUUGUUAUAACUGUUUUAUUUUAUUAUUAAUCUUUUUCUCUCUUUUUUGGGGAGUCCUGGGGAUUGAACUCAAGAGUACUCUACCAUUGAGCUACAUCCCUAGCUCUUGUUUUUGUUUUUUGUUACUGGGGAUUGAAUCCAGGGAGCCACAUCCCCAGGCUUAUAACUAACUAACUAUCUUUCUCCUUCCUUCCUUCCUUCCUUCCUUCCUUCCUUCCUUCCUUUCUUGUCUUUCUUUCUGUCUUUCUUUCU
rnacentral:lncRNA from 1 species